rnacentral:other from 1 species
GACACGAUGCUCCUGGGGAGAUGCUCCUUAGAACUGGGUUGGAGCCAGGAGAGCCCUAGUUAGGCACAAGGGCAACCAGACUGUAACCACCUGGAGGACCCAUCUGUCCCUAAAGCCCACCGGAGGUCCCAGCACAGAAAAGCCUCAGAUUGGAUCCUCCUCCUCCGGUAGUCCUGGAGAGUGUUGGAGGUUGGUUUAUUCCCACACCCUCUGUGACCCCCACGGGACGCAAGCACCCCUGUACUAAAAACAAAACAAAACAAAAAGCUGAGAAGAAAGUGUUUACUCGCCAGCCAGAGACUAACGGAUGCUCAGCAGCACUACAUCCACCAUG